AACGAACGCUGGCGGCAUGCCUAACACAUGCAAGUCGAACGAGACCUUCGGGUCUAGUGGCGCACGGGUGCGUAACGCGUGGGAACCUGCCCUUAGGUUCGGAAUAACUCCCCGAAAGGGGUGCUAAUACCGGAUAAUGUCUUCGGACCAAAGAUUUAUCGCCUUUGGAUGGGCCCGCGUUGGAUUAGCUAGUUGGUAGGGUAAAAGCCUACCAAGGCGACGAUCCAUAGCUGGUCUGAGAGGAUGAUCAGCCACACUGGGACUGAGACACGGCCCAGACUCCUACGGGGGGCAGCAGUGGGGAAAAUUGGAAAAUGGGCGAAAGCCUGAUCCAGCAAUGCCGGGUGAGUGAUGAAGGCCUUAGGGUUGUAAAGCCCUUUUACCCGGGAUGAUAAUGACAGUACCGGGAGAAUAAGCUCCGGCUAACCCCG
rnacentral:rRNA from 1 species